AACCCCUUCCGCACUCCCGGGGCGACCCCGGCCCAGAUCCCCGCGCUCCCCUGAGAUUCGGCCUCGGGAAGGAGAGACCAGGUGUGGUUGGACCCGCGACGCCGACGGCGCUGACGGUGUUUCUGUUUCCCUCUCGCUGAGCUCCGGGGACGCGCGGAGUCGGCGCCUCUUUCUCUCCCUUCAGCCCCUGAGCACGGGAUCGCCCUGGGGAGGGUGAUGGGCCGAGAACCACGUAGGCUCAAACCCCGGUUCCUCCUUUCUCGCGCGGAGUGACUUCCGGCUGCUUCGGGAACUCUCCUGGGCCUCUUCUCACCGUUUAUGAAAUGGGGACAUCACAGUGCAGGGUCCCAUGAGGGCGGAAUCGGAUCACGCCUCCGCUCUGGUCGGUCCCGGGCCUCCGCUUGAGUGUCUUGGUAACUGUACUCUGACUUCAGUGGAAACGGGACACUGAAACCACAAGAGACCUGAGAAAUGAAGUCUUGCAAGACUUGAGGCCAGUCUGAGUUGAACCAGAGUGGGCAGAAGACGUCUUCAGUUGGAAGCCAGGAGCCUAAAGAGGGAGGUGUGAACAGAGAGGACUGUGAAAGCUUCCAGGAGCAGAGGAGGGACCUGGGUCCUGUGUGCUGUCAUCAUCGCUGUGGUCCUUUGUGAGGUCAGAGCAGACAGCUCUGCCAGGUGCCUCAAGCUGGUGAACAGAGUUCAGGCUGUGCUUUGGCUUAUAAAUGCAGUUUUGUUUUUACUUCAUCCCAAAUAUUUUGAUUUGUGUUUGGACUUAUGUCACCUUAUGAAUGUUUAAAAUACUUAUUUAUUAACCAAGAAGAGAUUAUGAAAUGUAUAACAGCUUACUGUUUGGGAUUUUAUUUACUGACAUUUUCAGUAUUCAG